AAAAUAGGUGCCCGUACCGCAAACCGACACAGGUAGUCAAGAUGAGAAUUCUAAGGUGAGCGAGCGAACUCUCGUUAAGGAACUCGGCAAAAUGACCCCGUAACUUCGGGAGAAGGGGUGCUCUUUAGGGUUAACGCCCAGAAGAGCCGCAGUGAAUAGGCCCAAGCGACUGUUUAUCAAAAACACAGGUCUCUGCUAAACCGUAAGGUGAUGUAUAGGGGCUGACGCCUGCCCGGUGCUGGAAGGUUAAGAGGAGUGGUUAGCUUCUGCGAAGCUACGAAUCGAAGCCCCAGUAAACGGCGGCCGUAACUAUAACGGUCCUAAGGUAGCGAAAUUCCUUGUCGGGUAAGUUCCGACCCGCACGAAAGGCGUAACGAUUUGGGCACUGUCUCAACGAGAGACUCGGUGAAAUCAUAGUACCUGUGAAGAUGCAGGUUACCCGCGACAGGACGGAAAGACCCCGUGGAGCUUUACUGUAGCCUGAUAUUGAAAUUCGGCACAGCUUGUACAGGAUAGGUAGGAGCCUUUGAAACGUGAGCGCUAGCUUACGUGGAGGCGCUGGUGGGAUACUACCCUAGCUGUGUUGGCUUUCUAACCCGCACCACUUA
rnacentral:rRNA from 1 species